UCAAAGCGGUGGGACGGGUUCCGAGGACCUCCACAAUCGGCAGCGCAUAUCCUCCCGCAGAUACCGGUGUGCUCUCUUCUUCCUACCCCUGAUUUGUCUCCUGCUUUCUGGAAGCAUCUCGCCUUUCCUCUCCCUCUCUCUCCUUGAUUCAUCCGCGCGUCGCGCGCAAGAUGCCAACACCAAAAGUUGGUUUCCUCGGCUGAGCCAGCUGCUAGGACAAGGCCGGCGGAUAUGGCCUGGAUCGACGACGGCGAGCCCGUUGGGGCGUAGGAACUAGGAAGUGCACCUUCUCCAGCGUCAACGCGGAUGCUCCCGGCCGCAAUGGAGGAUGCUCGCGCUGUUCCGCCCUCGACGCCGCACUUCGCAGCUUCAGCGCUGCUUGGGUCAUGUGGGGGCGUGGGACAGAGGCUAGACGUCCUACUACCUCUCAGCUCCUUCUCGGAGGCGAGUUGUUCCUGGUGGCAAGCGGGCGGCGGCUCCGCGUGCUCCACGGCUGCAUAUCUGCGCGUUGUACAGACCCAAGUUGCGGCCGCGGAUGAGCCAUCGAGUCCGCAUGAUGCCGCAAGCGCUGUCGUUGUUGUCCAGGCGGUCCAAGCGCUGGGCCAAGCCUGCUGGCGCGGGGAUAGAGGUGCGGGUUGCGCGGCGCCAUGCCUACAUGAGUGCGCACCAUGCGGUGGCCGGCCGGCGCUAUGGUCGUUGUCCAGGCGACCCAAACGCUGGGCCAAGCCUGCUGGACGCAUGCCCGGACCCUGCUAGCAAAACGUCGGCCGCAUCCGCAGUCUCGCCAAUGAGAUCGCGGACAACACCACGAGGGCGCCUGCCGGACCUGCAGAUUCCCGCAUAGUCAAGGCCCUGAGCCACCAUGCCCUCGGUGACUGCAUCCACGACGACUCCAACAACAGUCUUCGAGCCUGCUACCACGAAUUGGUUGCUCAGUCCACAGCUUUUCUCCCAACUUCUGUACAUCAGGCAGACGUGUUUGUUCAGAUUUUCCUUCAUUGCGAUUUGUGCACACAACCUGUUUGUUGAAAUGACUACAUGCUAUUCCUCUUAUGCAAUUGGAAAAUACUUCUCCAGGUUAGAUUGGAGGAUUAAUCAUUUCAUUCAAGGAGUUCUUUGUUGUUCAUGAGGUCAUUUUCCACUCGCCAAUCGUCUCUGUUGAACCAGCUUGUGUUCUUUGUCACAGAGAUCGGCUGCCCCAAGCUGAUCAUCCACGUCUCCAAACAAGUUGCUGACAAGAGACCAUUCUACCUCUGAACUAUUGCUGCAGCAAACCCAAUUAAAGCAAAUUAAACAACGAAGUAUCAUCUGCAGCAACAGACGAGGUUAGCCGAAGAAGUGAACAAGUAUCCAGACUGGUGAUCUAUAUAUCAAGAUAUCUAUUUUGUCAAUGCCAGCCACCAAAAUUCCAUGUCAAA